rfam:Aedes albopictus isolate Foshan contig35213, whole genome shotgun sequence.
GUCCAGUUAGCCUAGUGAUUAAGGCUGUGGAUCGUCAAUCCGGAGACCACGGGUUCGAUCCCCGUUCCGGUCA